GCUGGCGGCGUGCCAACACAUGCAAGAUAACGGGGGGUAGCAAUACCAACCGGCGAACGGGUGCGUAACACUUUUAGCAACCUGCCUAUCUGCGGGAGAUAGCCGGCCCAACGGCCGGGUAAUACCGCAUACGUUCACGAGGGGACAUCCCCUUGUGAGGAAACCUCCGGGGCAGAUAGAGGGGCUCGCGGCCUAUCAGCUAGUUGGUGAGGUAACGGCUCACCAAGGCGACGACGGGUAGCUGGUCCGAGAGGAUGGCCAGCCACAUUGGGACUGCGACACGGCCCAGACUCCUACGGGAGGCAGCAGUGGG
rnacentral:rRNA from 1 species